rnacentral:tRNA from 1 species
CAUUAGAUGGCUGAAAGUAAGCAUCGGAAUUUUAAACCGAUUUAUAGUAAAUAACACCUACUUCUAAUG